AUUGAACGCUGGCGGCAUGCUUUACAUAUGCAAGUCGAACGGUAACAGGCCGCAAGGUGCUGACGAGUGGCGAACGGGUGAGUAAUGCAUCGGAACGUGCCCAGUCGUGGGGGAUAACUACUCGAAAGAGUAGCUAAUACCGCAUACGAUCUAUGGAUGAAAGCGGGGGACCGUAAGGCCUCGCGCGAUUGGAGCGGCCGAUGUCAGAUUAGGUAGUUGGUGGGGUAAAGGCUCACCAAGCCAACGAUCUGUAGCUGGUCUGAGAGGACGACCAGCCACACUGGGACUGAGACACGGCCCAGACUCCUACGGGAGGCAGCAGUGGGGAAUUUUGGACAAUGGGCGCAAGCCUGAUCCAGCAAUGCCGCGUGCAGGAAGAAGGCCUUCGGGUUGUAAACUGCUUUUGUACGGAACGAAACGGCUCUGGUUAAUACCCGGGGCUAAUGACGGUACCGUAAGAACAAGCACCGGCUAACUACGUG
rnacentral:rRNA from 1 species